rnacentral:lncRNA from 10 species
UGUUUAGCAGAGAUUUAAUACAUUUUACUUAUUUAUAUCAGGUAAUGCGUGUUUCUUUUCUUUUCUUUUUUAAAGUUACAACAACUUUGUUAUUUAAUACUGAAACAUGUUUCUCAUUCCCUGUUAAUACAGUAAUUAGCCCAAAAUUCAAACAUUACAGAAAGAAAAAAGGGAAAAAGCAAAUGUCUCCCAAAACCAGCCACCAUCAGCAUUUUGUUGACGAUUCUUGCAUACCCAUCUCUUCCUCUACACUCACGCAUAUAUAAGUUUACAUAGUGGCAUCUUACUUCUUAUGCAUUUUGUUAUCUGACUUUUGAAUUCAACAGCAUGUCCUGGUGUUUGCAAGGUAGACAUCAUUAUUUUCAUUCAGGGGAGUUGAGAAAUUUAAGGCUCAGAGAGGUUGUGCACACCUUCCCAAGGUCAGUCAUUUUGCUACCAAGGGAGAAAAGCUAAAAUUUGAAUUUUAAUCUAACUAAUCCAAACCCAUGCUCUUUCCACACAAAGAAGUAACAUAGAGUAAUUGCAAAUUUCCCUUAAGAAAAAUUCAAUUGUACACAAAUUUACUUAUAUAAACCUUUUUAGCAACUUGUUUCCAGUACAUAUGAAUGGCAAGCUAGUCCUGUUGGGAGUAAUUUUAAAAAGAGAAACUGGGGUUUGGGAAUAGAAAGGGGAGGUAAAACAGAUGGCAAAAAAAGGAGAAGAUUUUGCACUGUGGCCUUGGGAAAGAUAAGGGAAGAUGAAGGGAAAUCAUUCCAACCUUAGAACUGUGCCUUUCUCUGAGGAGGGAGCCACAACGUGUUGAGGAGGGCAAAGCCGCAACAGGAGCCUAGGCGAGAAGUUAACAUUUGCAGACCUAAGCAAUCUAUUUCCAGGGGCGUUUCGGGAGAGAAGAGCACUAAAUACUUCCUCGGCAGAGAACAAUUGAGGGUCUCCAAUGCCUUUCCCAUCUCAGGCAGUCAAGUCUCUGCUUCUGACUCCACUGAAAAGACUGGAAGGAGCAUCAAAGAAGAGGAGCUCCAGCCAUAAAAUCAAAAAAGCAUGAAACAUUUGGUUGGAGGAUGAGAAAGACACAUAAAAAUUCUUGUUAGCAUGCAUAUUACCUUUAAUUAAUAUUUAUCUCUACCUUUAAACAUGCUUAUUAGCAUGCAUAUUGGAGUACAACAAAUUGGCAACCACCAGUUUUCAGGAGAGCUAUCUUGAAAAGUUUCAAUUAAGCUAAACAUGGCAAGGGAAAUAAAUGUACAUGUAUUAUUACUAAUUUAGUGUGAGAAAAGUCACCAACUGACUAUAUUUGGUGUUUAUUUCUGCAGUUAAAUUUUCCUUUUAGAAAUAUAUUUAUAGGAGAUUUUAUAUGAAUAUUUCUGACCUUUGUCUUCAUUCUAUUUUCCCCCUUAAGGUCUUCAUUUCCUCAAAAGUGAAUUCUCUCACCGCAGGAGUUUUCCAGAUCCUUUCUCACUUCCCUGUAUUAGCCAGCCACUUACACUGAAAUAAUGACAUGGAAGGACAGGAAAAGAUGGGACAACCUAUUUUCCUUUCAGCCCUUCCUUACUCAUUAGUAAGCCAAAGGUAGAAAGCACUAAUAAAAUGUGCUCAUAUUAAGAAGUGAAAGAAGAUAAAACAGUUGACCUAAUUCAGUGCUAGGUUUCCACUGUUCUGGUUAGAACAAAAUAUAUAUGUAUGCAUGAACUAACAAAUACAAUCUGUGAAGUUUUAGUGAUUCUGCACACAUGUUAAAUGUUCUUAUAUUUAAUUUAAAAUGGGCAUUGCACACUUGAUUUUCAAUCUAAGAUAUUCUAUCGCUAGUUUAUUACUUUGGGCAAGUUAUCUAAAAAUCUGUGAUCCUAUAUUCUGUCUUUAAAAUGAAAGUAAUAAUAUUUACUUUCCAGUGUUUCAGUGUGAAUAACUGAGAUACUCUAAGUAGUAGUUAUUGAUCUCAACAAUCAUUUAUUUGGCUUCUAAUAUAUGCCAGAGCAUUUGAAAUUCAAAAUAAAAUAUAGUUUCUGACCUCAAGAAAUUCAUCAUUCAAUGGAAGAGACAAGAUUAUAUACAUAUAAUUAGAAUGAGAUGUAGAAGUGCCAAUAGAGGUAGGUGCAAAACACUAGGGAAAAAAGAAAAGCAUCAUUCUGGUGGAUGGGUGAGGUUUCUCCAGGUAGACAAGAUGGGUAGUUGUUCCCAUCAGCAGGAAGGGCGGUGAAAAGACAUGAUGUGGUGCAGCAACAUGGCUCGCUGAACAGCCAAGAGGAGGUGGAAGAGGCAACAAGAAAUGGGCUCCAGGGCCUGAUCACAUUCACCUGGUUUCAGUCAUGGUAAGGACUGUCCCAGAUUUCAGAGCCUUCAAAGAAGAUCUUAACUCUAAAACCUGGGCAAAGUCUGGGAUAGCAGUUUGUGUGCCACCUCACUCUCCUGUCUCUUUCUCUCUGAAUAAACAUCUUUUAUCAGGAAGCCCAGCAGAACACAGUCAAGAAGAAGGUAGGUGACUGGUAUUCCCAUCUUGCUGAAAUCGCAGCCACUUGGGGUCAGUGUGAUAGCAGUGGUGGCUCACGUCUUGAACAUAAGAGAAUAGACUGUAUUGUCAAGGUACUGAUGCAACACACUUCUGCCCUACUUGGUGCAUUGUCUCAGGUCUCAGCACUCACAAUGGAUGCUCUUAAUUCUACACAGAAUCCCCAAAUGUCAAUGAGGAUCACUGGCCAGCCAUACCUUAGUUCAUGGAGGGUAGUAGGGAUAUCAACAAAGGCCCCACCUUCCACCACCCAAGUGCUUCCAAUCAGAAGGAUGAGCUUGGGUAAUUUUGUGAUGCGUGACAGGAUGGUGUCAGCAGACAGGCCAAAUCCACAUUCAGUAUUUCCCAUCAUGAGAUCUUUGGUGUCAGGUAACAUUAAAGAAUGAGAGUGGUGAAGAAACACCUCUGGUGAACCACUUUCCAAUAGGCUGAGAAUGCAGCUUUCAAAUCACUUCCAAUACUUGGCUUAAAGAAACUGGAAAGCUAAGUGAAAGAGAGAGCACAGAGCAGGUCAGAGUACCUGAGAUCCUGCUCUCAAUUCCCACUUACAGGCUGAAUGACCAACGGAAAGUCAUUUGUCCUCCUGUAUUUCUGUUUUCCCGUUGAAAAAUGGCAAUAAUAAGUAAUAAUGCUUGCUUUGUGGGGACCCUGUGACCAGAAAAUGAGGCAACCUAUAAAACACACAUUUAAAUAGAACAUCACUGCAGGACUUGGUGGCUCAUUCCUGUAAUCCCAGCACUUUGGGAGGCCUAGGAGGGUGGAUCACCUGAGGUCAAGAAUUCAAGACCAGCCUGGACAACAUGAUGAAACCCCAUCUCCACUAAAAAUACAAAAAAUUAGCUGGGUGUGGUGGUGGGCUCCUGUAAUCCCAGCUACUCAGGAGGCUGAGGCAGGAGAAUUGCUUGAACCCGGGAGGUGGAGGUUGCAGUGAGCCGAGAUCCUGCCACUCCACUCCAGCCUAGGUGACAGAGCAAGACUCCAUCUCAAAAUAAAUAAAUAAAAAUAAAAUCACUCUGCAACUAGUGGGUACAACCUGAAUUUCUUUUUUUUUUUUUUUUUUUUUUUUUUUUUGUCUGUUGCCCAGGCCAUUACCCAGGCUGGUGCAAUCUCAGCUCACUGCAACCUCCACCUCCCAGGAUCAAGUGAU